rnacentral:misc_RNA from 1 species
AAGUCGUAACAAGGUAACCGUAGGUGAACCUGCGGUUGGAUCAUUACCAAAAGAAGGACUUUGAGUCCCCUUUAAACGCUAGUGCCUGUAACAGGGCCUAGUAAACCCCUUGUGAACCUACUGGCUUGGUGGAGUACUCUCGAGUACCUGCCGGUCAACUUAUUACACCCCGUUUUUAAAAAACGUCUUAUCAAAUAUAAAAAUUUGAAACAACUUUUGACAACGGAUCUCUUGGCUCUC